AUGAAUCUUCUAAGGGAAUCAAGCAAGAGCAUCCAAUUAUAAGCUUUUCAUGUUUUGAAGGUGUUGUGUUAAAUUUCCUUUCCGCUUGGAUCACUUAGAUAGUAAUUUGAAACAUGAAAUGGCUGCAAAUCGGAACAAGCCUCCAGAUAUUGCUAGCUUACUGGUUGCAAAUAAAAGCAAGCUUUUACGUUUGUUUGCUGAUUUCAAGCCUGAUAAAGCGGACGAACAGUUUCAGGCAUACAAGGCUCAAGUUGUGAAGGAAAUCGCUGCCCUUGAGCUUUAACGCCGGCCCGGGCAUAGUGAGCUCUAAUACAUUGUAUUCGUGUUAGUUUUAGUUUUAAUGUUACUAAAA